rnacentral:rRNA from 1 species
UACGAAGGGGGCUAGCGUUGCUCGGAAUCACUGGGCGUAAAGCGCACGUAGGCGGAUUCCUAAGUCGGGGGUGAAAUCCUGGAGCUCAACUCCAGAACUGCCUUCGAUACUGGGAAUCUUGAGUCCGGAAGAGGUGAGUGGAACUGCGAGUGUAGAGGUGAAAUUCGUAGAUAUUCGCAAGAACACCAGUGGCGAAGGCGGCUCACUGGUCCGGUACUGACGCUGAGGCGCGAAAGCGUGGGGAGCAAACAGG